GCGAACCUGAAGUGCCUCGUGAACUUUGACAAUGGCCAAGAACAAACUAAAAGGGCAGAAGUCCAGGAAUGUAUUUCAUAUAGCUAUCCACAAAACUUUCAAGGCUAAAAACAAGGCAAAACCAGUUACUACUAAUCUUAAGAAGAUAAACAUUAUGAAUCAUGAAAAAAUCAACAGAAUGAACAGAGCUUUUGUAAAUAUACAGAAAGAACUUGCAAACUUCUCAAAAAGCCUUUCUCUUAAAUCUGUGCAGAAAGAGCUGAAGCACCAUGAAAAUGAAGCAGCUAACGUUGAUGAAGCAACACGACUAAUGGCUCAGUUGUAAUACAAUGACAGUGAAUCACAUUACCCCAAAGAUCAAUAAAUUGAAUGUUUCAU